GACGAACGCUGGCGGCGUGCUUAACACAUGCAAGUCGAACGAAGUGGCGAACGGGUGAGUAACGCGUAAUCAACCUGCCCUUCAGAGGGGGACACCAGUUGGCAACGACUGCUAAUACCGCAUACUGAAGGAGGGGCUUGCGUCAGAUGAGUUAGUUGGAGGGGUCAAGGCCCACCAGGGCGAUGAUCAGUAGCCGGACUGAGAGGAUGAACGGCGAAAUUGGGACUGAGACACGGCGCAGACUCUGACGGGAGGCAUCAGGGGGGAGUCUUCCGGAAUGGACGAAAGUCUGACGGGGCAACGCGGCGUGAGUGAUGACGGCCUUCGGGUUGUAAGGCUCUGUUAAUCGGGACGCGGGACCGGAAUAGAAAGCCACGGCUAACUACGUGCCAGCAGCCGCGGUAAUUC
rnacentral:rRNA from 1 species